UCCAUCGGCUGCCACUAACCAAGACUCAGGC
rnacentral:piRNA from 1 species